rnacentral:rRNA from 1 species
CACGUAGGGCGCGAGCGUUGUCCGGAAUUAUUGGGCGUAAAGAGCUCGUAGGCGGCCUGUUGCGUCCGCUGUGAAAGCCCGGGGCUUAACCCCGGGUCUGCAGUGGAUACGGGCAGGCUAGAGGUAGGUAGGGGAGAAUGGAAUUCCCGGUGUAGUGGUGGAAUGCGUAGAUAUCGGGAGGAACACCAGUGGCGAAGGCGGUUGCCUGGGGCUUUGCUGACGCUGAUGCGCGAAAGCGUGGGGAGCGAGCCGG